ACUCCUACGGGAGGCAGCAGUGGGGAAUAUUGCACAAUGGGCGCAAGCCUGAUGCAGCCAUGCCGCGUGUAUGAAGAAGGCCUUCGGGUUGUAAAGUACUUUCAGCAGUGAGGAAGGUGGGUAUGUUAAUAGCAUACUCAUUUGACGUUAGCUGCAGAAGAAGCACCGGCUAACUCCGUGCCAGCAGCCGCGGUAAUACGGAGGGUGCGAGCGUUAAUCGGAAUUACUGGGCGUAAAGCGCAUGCAGGUGGUUUGUUAAGUCAGAUGUGAAAGCCCGGGGCUCAACCUCGGAAUUGCAUUUGAAAACUGGCAAACUAGAGUACUGUAGAGGGGGUAGAAUUUCAGGUGUAGCGGUGAAAUGCGUAGAGAUCUGAAGGAAUACCGGUGGCGAAGGCGGCCCCUGGACAGAUACUGACACUCAGAUGCG
rnacentral:rRNA from 1 species